rnacentral:rRNA from 1 species
UACGAGGGGGGCAAGCGUUGUUCGGAAUUAUUGGGCGUAAAGGGUGCGUAGGCGGGUCUUUAAGUCAGGGGUGAAAUCCUGGAGCUCAACUCCAGAACUGCCUUUGAUACUGAGGAUCUUGAGUUCGGGAGAGGUGAGUGGAACUGCGAGUGUAGAGGUGAAAUGCGUAGAUAUUGGGAGGAACACCAGUGGCGAAGGCGGCUCACUGGACCGGUUCUGACGCUGAUGCGCGAAAGCGUGGGGGAGCAAACGGG